AGUGCAAUUGCGGGAUAACAUGGUAAGAGUUAUGUUUAACUUUGUAAGAAAUUACCAAACUGUGUUCCAAAGUAGCUGCACCAUUUCACAUUACCACCAACAAU
rnacentral:pre_miRNA from 1 species